UACGUAGGCAGCGAGCGUUGUUCGGAGUUACUGGGCGUAAAGGGUGUGUAGGCGGUUGUUUAAGUUUGGUGUGAAAUCUCCCGGCUCAACUGGGAGGGUGCGCCGAAUACUGAAUGACUUGGAGUGCGGGAGAGGAAAGUGGAAUUCCUGGUGUAGCGGUGAAAUGCGUAGAUAUCUGGAGGAACACCGGUGGCGAAGGCGGCAUCCUGGACCAACACUGACGCUGAUGAGCGAAAGCCAGGGGAGCAAACGGG
rnacentral:rRNA from 1 species